GACCACAGACUCAGAAAGACUCUGAGCAGGUACAGGCUGAGUGGACACACUCUGUCCACAGAGACAGGUGGAGACAGAGCAACACUUCCUGCUUCAAUGUAGCACAUAUACUGACAUCAGAACUCAGUUAUUUACGAAAAUUAAAUGUAAACUCCCAGAUUUUGAUACAC